rnacentral:lncRNA from 1 species
UAGAAUUUUAGUUGUUGUACAAAGAUUAAUUUAACAUUUUCUCUGGAAGUAUUAAUUUAGAAAGAUAAUAUGCCUCAUUGGUGUUGUGUUUUGAAGUGUGAAAUGCAAAGUAAUCGUGAUAAAGUUAGCUUUUACCACUUACCAUCAGUGCUACAUUCUAAGCACAAAACUGAACCAAUUUAACUAAAUAAGUUAUAGUUAUCAUCUGAGAGACAACAACAAUGGUAAAAUGCAAUAAAAUAUAAAGAUUUUACUAGCAAAAUGGAAAUUCCCCUGUAAUCAUCUUAUAUCUGGAAAACCAGCCGACUUAACUGAUAAUAACAAUCCAGAUUGGGUUCCUUCAAUAAAUAUGGGGUAUAUAAACACAAUGAAAUGAGUUCCCCAAAAUCUAAAAUGGGAAUUAAGGUACCAAAGGAGAAUUAAAAGAAAAGGGUACCUACAAGAAAAAA